UACGGAGGGGGCUAGCGUUGUUCGGAAUUACUGGGCGUAAAGCGCACGUAGGCGGCUUUGUAAGUUAGAGGUGAAAGCCCGGGGCUCAACUCCGGAAUUGCCUUUAAGACUGCAUCGCUAGAAUUGUGGAGAGGUAAGUGGAAUUCCGAGUGUAGAGGUGAAAUUCGUAGAUAUUCGGAAGAACACCAGUGGCGAAGGCGACUCACUGGACUGGUAUUGACGCUGAGGUGCGAAAGCGUGAGGAGCAAACAGG
rnacentral:rRNA from 1 species